rnacentral:rRNA from 1 species
AGAGCGAACGCUGGCGGCAGGCCUAAAACAUGCAAGUCGAACGGACCCUUCGGGGUUAGUGGCGGACGGGUGAGUAACACGUGGGGACGUGCCUUUUGGUUCAGAACAACUCAGGGAAACUUGAGCUAAUACUGAAUAAGCCCUACGGGGGAAAGAUUUAUCGCCAUUAGAGCGGCCCGCGUUGGAUUAGCUAGUUGGUGAGGUAAAGGCUCACCAAGGCUACGAUCCAUAGCUGGUCUGAGAGGAUGAUCAGCCACACUGGGACUGAGACACGGCCCAGACUCCUACGGGAGGCAGCAGUAGGGAAUCUUGCGCAAUGGGCGAAAACCUGACGCAGCCAUGCCGCGUGAAUGAUGAAGGUCUUAGGAUUGUAAAAUUCUUUCAGCGGGAAGAUAAUGACUGUACCCGCAGAAGAAGCUCCGGCUAACUUCGUGCCAGCAGCCGC